rnacentral:rRNA from 1 species
AGUGAACGCUGGCGGCGUGCCUAAUACAUGCAAGUCGAACGAGGUUGCGCACGGGUGAGUAAUAUAUAGUUAAUCUGACCUACACAGAGGAACAACAAUUGGAAACGACUGCUAAUACCUCAUAGUGUAGGAUGAGACUAUAUAGUAUCAGCUAGUUGGUAAGGUAAUGGCUUACCAAUGCUAUGACGCGUAACUGGUAGGAUAGGAUGAUCAGUCACAUUGGAACUGAGACACGGUCCAAGCUCCUUCGGGAGGCAGCAGUAAGUAAUAUUGCGCAAUGGGGGAGACCCUGACGCAGCAACGCCGCGUGGAGGAUGACACUUUUCGGAGCGUAAACUCCUUUUAUCAGGAAAGCGGUACCUGAUGAAUAAGCACCGGCUAACUCCGUGCCAGCAGCCGCGGUAAUUC